AGCGGCGAGAGCUGCGGGAUAUACCCAGGGCUGCCAGGGGGCACCCCCCAACCCGGGGCGGGCGGCGCUGACCCCGCCGACCCCUUGGGCGCCGCCCGCUCACAUCCGCCGCCGGUGCACCCGAGGGCGCAACGAGCAGCCCCUUUGGGUCUCAGACUGAGGGACCAGAACAUGAAAGGGAUGGCAACAAGCCAUGCAAAGCCUCAUUCAGAAGGGAAGGAAUGCAGACAGCUCCGAGAUGGCUUUUGGAAACCCCGUGUCACUCCCUUUAUUACAAACUCCUCUGCCCUCCUCCAGGCGCCUGAGCCACUCCGGGAUUACAAAUGGAGCUUCUGCCUCUAGGACCAUGAGCCCCCUCUGCUUCCCUCGGGUCUCCGGCAUUCCAAGGCAGGGCCAGGCACCAUCACCGUAACAACGAUCCCAUUAGAAAUGGAUCCCCAGCCCAGAAGAAUCCAGGCUCACUGGGAACAGGCACUGUGGGUUUGCAGCGACACGAUGAGGUUGGUACUGUUCCCAUCUCCACUUUACAGAUGGAACCAUUGAGACACAGAGAGCUCUAUGGCUUGUCCCAAGUCACACCGCUCAGAAGAGGCCAAGCUGGGAUUGGAACCCGGGUCUUUAGAGGUUGCACUCUUAACCACCAGGUUUCCCAGCACUCGGUAAACACAGGAAAGAUGGACGGACACAGACAGUUGGUGUGCCCCAAAGUGUGCAGGCAGACGGGGAAAGAGAUGGGAGGGGACACAGCAGGGUGGGCACCAGCCUCUCCCCAAAGUAACACUGUAAAUCCCUGGAGCCUGGGCAGUUUGCAGGCAUUGGACCCUCAGAUCCACACCUGAAAGACCAAGGCCUGCCCACCAAGCGGCAGGAGCUGGACAUCAGCGUACUCAGAACACCGGAGGAGACGCAGCUAAGCAACGGGAGGCCCCUAUCACACACAGGACAGAUCACCCUUCAGCCCACUCCCCACUCCUGCCACCCGUGGCUCAAGUCUCCCUGGGAAGUCCCUGGCAUGGUGGACCAGCACAGGGCGCUGAGCUGGGGGCCUAGCCUGGUGUUACUGACAUGUGUCCUUCAGCAAAUUA